rnacentral:sRNA from 1 species
CAAUUUUGUUAUUUUAAAGUUAUGAUUGCCACGAUGAAGGAACUCCUUGUCAACCUGAGAUAAGGAAUUGUUGUGGAUACUGCAACCAAAUCAAAAAUUCAGAUUCAGUGCCUCUUUGUGCGAAUCUGUCUACAAUAGAAGUCAAUGACAAAUAUUAUAGGAACUGAUUGACACAGUUGUAUCAAACAUUAUAAAGUGAAUAACCUGACGAUUUGAUCUGAUUAAACAAUUUUUGAAAAUAAAAACAAACCACAA